AGUGCUUGUAAAGACUACUUUUAUGAUACUUCCAUUGUGUUUUUGCAUCCUUUUUGAAGUUUUAAAACUUUAUUGUAAUUAAAUCAGUGACUAGGAUAUUAUUCAGAAUUUCUCUGUUUGUGUUUCACAAUUGCAGCAAAGUCAUAUGGGUUCAGACCAACAUGAGGAUAAGUAAAUGACCACAGAAUGUUCAGAUUUGGGUGAGUGGGCUCAGCCAGGAUAGCAAGUAGCUGUUAUUUGGGUGGAGUCCUGUGCUUUCUCCAUUAACCAUUAAAGGAAGCAUCUCUGAACUGCAAUGCGGUGAGAAGGACAGCUGUGAUUUGCCAUUUCUGGUGAAUAAACAAACAGACUGAGAAUGUGGAUGGUGCCUACCUGCUCUGUGUCUGUUGCUGUUGCUGUGAGAGUGUAGCGUGCUUUGAAGUUUCCACCUGAGUGAAGGACUGCACACAAACUCCACUGGAUGUAGAGGCUGGAUUAGGUAAGUGUGUGUGAUAGAGAACCACCCCACCUGUACCUAUGCUGGAGAGAAUUCACAUGCGCUGUUUGAGUAUGUGACAGACUUCAAGCCAUAGCGACAAUGUCUGUCAAGAAAUUUCUUUGAGUGGUUAAAACAUU
ensembl:lncRNA